AGCCCAGAGAAGAGCAGUAGCCCGGCAGUGACCAGACAGAUAAGUUAACCCUUCCUUGCCUGCUCCACUGGGAUGGACAGUACAGGUAGCCACAAGACAUUCCACCACAACCCUGCAAGGACAGCUUGACCAACUAAAGCUCUGCACACCCAGGUAAAGCAAGCUGAUCUGUUCGAGAGGACAAUUUGCAAUGCAUCAAAAGAAGCGC